rnacentral:lncRNA from 1 species
CAGACAACAAGGCUUGAGAGCUGUUGUAGCUCAGCAGUGAAGAUGAAGCUCCUGACAAUAUGUGUUGGCAAGGAGUCUGCUUCCAUAACACACUGUCAGUGUGAAAGCAAAAGGAAGCUCCCCAGGACAUUAAGGGCUUUUUCUAGUCCUACUCUGCCACGACUGCCAAAGUGACCUUGGGCACAUGUAUAUCCCUUGGGGCUUCUGCCUCUUUUACCCAAAAAAGAAGACAAUAAGAUUCCAGCAGUUCAUACCAAUGCUGCCUUCCCUUUAACCUGUUACCCAGGAAACAAGCACCAAAAUUCUAACAUGCUUGGGGAUGUGAUGCUGUUACUAUUAGGCAUGAUGAUAGGAAAAACAUUUGCAAACUUCUUUAAAGUGUUCAUAAUUCCUAUAGCAAUAGGUGGAGCUCUUAGAGUAGAAGGCAUCUGUCAUUUUAGAAAGAAAAUAUGAUUCUACUGUGUCAAAAGAAGUAUAUUAAGAAUUUUUGAAAUUGGGUCCUAUUUUCUAGGAUAGAAAAUAACAAACAUCUUCGUAAUGUUGUUUCUAUGCCUAGUUGACUGUUCCAAUCUCACCGAUAUGCAUGUAAACCCACAUACACCAUUUAUGCCUUGAAAAAAUAUUGAGAUAAGAUAGGACAUUGUUUUCUAUGCAGUCUUUUACUUCCUUCAUAGUUUGAAACUAAGUCUUUUUAAACAAAUAAUAUGAACUAUUUUACCAACACUUUAUUUUAAAGAUAACCAGUUUUCUGGUUAGGUGUUUCAUUUGGCUACCGAAUGUUAUCAGGAGGCACAAUUAUAAUUGGACAGGCUGAAGUCAAAUGUGCAGAUGUGAAGAGCUGGGCCACUCGGGUGAUUUAGUGAACAGAGAGCCACGUGUGACUGUUGUUAAAAUGGCAUGUUUAUUGCAUCCUAACUUUUUCUCUAAUUAUAUUUUCUUAGUGUCAAUUCCUUUGUACUUUGCAUUUUCUCUAAAACAAUGAAAAAUACCCCUGCCAUUUCCAACUUCAUAGACAAAAUGUGCUUUAAUUUUGUUUUUAAAGGGGGAUAUCGGUUGUGCAGGAGAAAUUUGGUAGAAAGAUAAGUAUUGGCUCUUGCAAGCAAUAAUCAUGGUCUCUCAUCUUAGAGAAACAAAGGGACUGGAAAGUCUUGUGUUCACGCUUGAUGUUUAUGCUCCAGGGUUUUUCCACCAGGAAAUAAUCAAACUUUACAGGUAUCUGCAUGUUAACAUUUCAUUGUACUCUUAUACACUUGACAAUAUCUUUAAUCUGAUACAUUCUAAGACUGUUUCUCCUUUUCUGGGAAGACAAAUUCAUCCAAGAACUGACUUAUGAUUUUACCUAGUGAAGAACUAUCACAUACUGAGAAUGUUGUGGAUCCUCAGAAACAUAGAAUAAAGGAUGUAAUACUGCGAUGUUCAUGGAGUAGUAUGGUACCAGAGAGAUAUAAAGGAAAAUCUGAAGGGAAAGUAUUUAGAUUUGUUCAAUGAAAAUGUGGGGACAUCAAGUAGAAUAUUCAUUAUCAUUUCAACUUUAAUGUUAAAGUAUUGUUGUAUAAAACAAACAUCAGAAUGUUUACUAAAAUUACUUUGAUGGUAGUAUUAUAUGAAAUUCAUUUUU